rnacentral:snRNA from 1 species
AGUUUUGUGGAGUGGCAGUCUCAUAGCCAGUGGGGUCUCUCUGAGGCAGGAUCAUCGCUAAUUGAAAACUUUUCCAACAGAA